UAAUUUAUAAAUCUGACAUCAGUUUCAUGUUAACAUCUCUGCUCUUUUUUUUACCCAUUUUGCUGUGAGAAGUACUGUUACUGGAAUGCUAAAAAACCGUAAAAUCAAUGUUUCAUGUAUGGCGGGCUAAUUAGUGUAUAGCAUUUUCAGGUCUUGGAAGCUGGUUGUGGAGACAGUAACAUGAUACAGCUUUUAAUUUGGCAAUUGUUACCCCCCGCUGCAAUUGCUUCUCCCCCACUGGGCUAUUACAGAGAAGAAGAGGUUAUAACAUACUAAGUUUCAGCUGCUUACUUUCUUCAAGACACUGAGAUGACUUGGACCUUUUGCAACAAGUGAUUACAUUUAUUUAAUGAUAAUAAGGAUGUGUUACAGCCAUCUUGGAGAACAAAAAUCCACCUUUUUUUGAGUAAACCAAAAAAAGGGAGAGGACAAACACUAUACUUCUUAGAAGUUUUAGAAACGCAACCAUAUUUUGUUGUCUUGCUUCACUGCUUCAGUUAUUGUGUGUACGUUAUCUUGCUCUCUAGUUUACAUGUUAAUGUUCAAAUAAUUUGGAUAGAACUUCUGCUAGUCAUGAUCUUCAGUGCUUCUUGCUGAGAGUGAGUUAGAGUUCUGUAACUGAUAUGAUAUCUUGACUGUGUGUCCUAGACACCAUAUGAAAACCAGGCCUCUGAGACAGCAACCAGUUGCUGGAAACACAGCCAACAGAAGAUGUUGUUUGGGAAAUAAGUAACGGGGCAGAUGGUUGCAUAAGCAAUCUUCUUGGGUUUUAGUGAACCUCUCCAGUUUAAAAGACAGAGGGGACAAACUUUAUAUUGUUGGGGUGGUGCUUUGAGGUUCAUUUGAUGGGUUUUUUUGAUGUAAGGCAGUCAUACAAGAUUGGAAUGAAGAAAAGAGAUCAUUUAAUCUUUGUAAUAGCAUUUUAUUGGUAGUGUAUACCAACGUGCCAGUUUCAAAGAUUCUGUGACAGCCCUGACUGCCCUGACAGAACACAGGGGUUCUGCUGAGGGAGUGCAAAGGACUGGUUACUCUGUGCUAAUCAAGAUGAUAACCAGCAGUCACAGCACAUCACCAGCCCAGCUAGAUUCAGGUUUAUUUCAUGGGUAUGAUAACAAAUAUUUUGAAUGAGAUUUUUGAGGAAGUUAUGAUGUGACUUUGGGAAUAUUUGGAAAGAACUCCAUUAAAGUGUGAGAGGGAACAUGAGACUUGGGAAGUAUUUAUAUGAACAUUGAACAAGGACUAAUGAAACUAGUAUUGCCAUUUGCUCAAAAAAGGUACUGACCUCUUCAGGGUGAAUAAGAGGAUAGAUUUUAUGAGAGAAA